CCCUGCUUCUCCCCUGGCGCUUCCCCCUCCACACACGCAACCUCGCCUCCGCCGCUGCGGCGAGCGCUGAUCCGCCGACCUCCCUCGUCUCGUCCCGCCGCCCACCUCCUCUUUCCCCACCUCUAUUCCACCGGCCUCCCUCAUCUCCUCCCUCCACAUUUGUCAUCUUUCCCCAACAUCGUUCACCUCGCAUCUAUCGCGCCUCAUCAUCGUCAAGCAGACGGGUGCUCGUCACCGGCCCCCCUUGGUAGAGGGGCCGGUGGUUGCAGCAGCUGCGGGAGGGGGGCAAAGAAGACCGGGCUCCUUCCUCUCCACGCCACACCACCAGGACAUGUCCAUGUUGAGGGGUUGGAGGUUUGGACACAGGGGGCAGGGAGCAAGGCAUCUCACAGUCUCACUCCACUUUUCCUGGUAAGUUCGCCAUUAACUGUCCGGCGUCCUCAAGAUGACUCCGCUGUGUCGAAACGCUGGAUACUGCUGCAAUCGUCAGGCCAUCCGCGAGGCACCAGACCUAGCAGAAAUGGAAUACACCGCUGCUGGGAAGGUGAUUGCUUUGACGCCAAUCUGGUCGUAGGAGCAUGGCUUCACGUAUUUGGGUGUCGGCGACAUCAUGACUGACGACAUUGUUCGUGGGUGUGUAGUCACAGCUGCGGGGUUGUCGGCCAAGGCGGUGGAGUCUGGGAGCAUAUGCCGCCGAUGACGAUGGCACUGGGGCUCUGCAUUGGCUGCGGAGUGCUGCAGAUGAGCUAACACAGGGUACAUAUGGAUCUUUUGGAGCGGAAAAUACGUGAUGCAAAUGGAGAACGCCUACCAUUAUCCUAGGAGCAGGUCCCUUAAAUGGUAAUCCCUGUUAGGGUAUUCAUGAUUUCAUCCUAAACACUUGCAUAUGCUUUCUUUGUGUCACGCUUCAUCUCUUUAUUAGGUAGAUUUUACUUGCAGCUUUCUGGAGUAGUUGCAGUAAGUCAUUGGGGUCCAUCUGUUCAGUUUGUUCCUGGAAGAUGUGAUUCCUCAGUUUGCAACCAUGAAGGCCAUCUUCCUGAUGCUAAGAGAGCUUGUACAUCUAUUAUCGGAUGGGCCAGGACCUUCUACCUUGGUUAGAGUGCUGGCAACAAGAGAAUGCAAUCAUGCAACUGGUUGUGCCCCUCUCUGUCUACAUACUCACCUCUAUGCUUUUGUGUCUGAAGCCGCUGCUUUCACGAACAUUGCCAUCUCCUUUGCUGAAAGCACUUCCUGGAUUCUGGUUCCACUCUAUAAUGGGAGACCUACUGUUGGAAAGAUCAAGUAAUGAUGGGAUUCCCCAGAGGUACAUUUCCAAAAGGCACAUAUUCAUGUGACCUUUAUGUAUAUACUCCUAUUUGUUAUGCUAGGCAUCUUCAUAUUUUGAAAUUAAGUAUCCAGUUUUGGAUAAUGACCAAACAAAUACAGUUUAGGUGAAACAAGUAAUAUGUUAGAUCUAUAAUGGGAUACCAUUCAAUACUAUGCCCUACAAAGUGCAUACUUCUACUUUCUUGUUCCUGGAACUUCAUGUUAACUUUGUUACUGAUUACUGAUAGAAUCGAUCUGGUGAGUCAUGGGAUUAUAUAUGCUUUAAUGUAUUCCUUGUUAGAUAUACUUACCACUGAAUUGGUGUACCCAAUGCACUGUUACCCGUAUCUAUUGUUGAUUGGAUGUUCUCACCGCAAAAGUUCAAAUUCUGCUGCUAAGGUUUCAUUCAUGUCAUGAGAUUCCAAAGUAUCAAUUACAAAUUUGUGCAUUGGGGAGGAUGUCAGCUUUCUUGCUACCAUUUUAUUUUUCAGACUUCUAAUGUUGACUUGGUAGACACUCAGCAUCAAUAUAUCUGCACCCUUGCUGAAGCAUGGAGUGCAAUAACGAUACCAUUCGGUAAACUUUGCAGGUCGACCAACUGAAAGUCUUGCAUAUUUCUUUUCUAAUUUACCCUCCAAAGGAAAGAAAAGAAGGUGUAUUGUGGAGCUUCCAUACAAUAUUUCUAUAUUUGUAUUAGACUGGUCAGAUACCUUAGACUUAGCAUUUUUGAUGAUUUCCUUUCGGUGUAUAUCUUUGCCAAUGUAAAGUGCAAAGUGUACUCUAGGUAUUGCCUUCAUUGCAAAAUCUAAUGUAAAGUUAAUGGUGUCCAGUAAACAUGUUGUGCCGUUUUGGGCCAUUUAACUAUGGAGAGUUUACUGUGUAAGUGGAUCUAAAUAAUAAAUAAAGAAAA